rnacentral:lncRNA from 1 species
CAUUUAUUUCAAUGAGUGCUCCUGAGUCAUCCUUUUAAGUUACAACAAUUCAACCAAGGUGUGAUCUUGGUUCACCCCUGCCACUUAAAAUCUGUAUAAGAUGAUUUUCAACUAUGAGCUUACAUACUGCGGGAAAUCUGAAGGUUUUCAUGGGCAUAUUUAGAAUUUCUUGGGGUUUCUAUUAUUCUUUUGUUAGCCCUGGCUCCGAUUUCCAGCUCUAUUCAAUAUUCUCCUGCAUUUUGUGUCUUGUGACUGGGCCCUUUAUUCUUUUUUUGGUGUCUUCUAUUUACACAUUGCCAACCCCUCAGUACUAACACACACUCCUCCAUCUCACCCACACAAGGCAGCUCUUAGAGAUAAACAUUUGCUGAAGAAAAUGAGAAAAUGCUAGAGAUCUUUUCUUUUCUUUCCUUUUUUUUUUAGAAAGGGUCUCACUUUGUCAACUACCCCACGCUGAAAUGCAGUGGCACGAUCAUAGCUCACUGCAGCCUUGACCUCCCAGACUCAAGCCAUCCUCCUGCCUCAGCUUCCCAAGUAGCCGAGACCACAGGCAUGCGCUGCCAUGCCCAGCUAAUUUUUUUAUUAUUUAUAGAGACAGAGUCUCCCUCUGUUGCCCAGGCUAUUCUUGAACUCUUGGGUUCAAGUAAUCUUCCCACCUCGGUCUCCCAAAAUGCUUGGGAUUGCAGGUAUGAGCCACUGUGCCUCGCCUUAGAGAAAUUGUCAAUGGACAAUUGAAAAUUGGACAUCACUUUUCUCUAUUCUUAACCUUAAUGAUUAUUGUCAACUCAAGAUCCAAAUUUUUAUAAGUUGACCCAGCACCUCCUACUUUCCCUUCUACCUCAUUAAAUCUCCUCUGUUCUCCAUUGCCCACUCUCCCUAUCAAUCCUAUUUUUUUGAAAAAGAAGUUUGGCCAGGGUUUAUUUCCUCCUUCUAAUAUAUUUCUAAAUGCCUUACCUUCCACUUUCAAGGAGUUUAUCAAGGUUUUUCCCCAAAUAUAAUUCUUUCCCUCAGGGGGAAUAAAUUACCAGUCAGUAAAAUAUUUUUCUAACUUCUCUAUAUAAAGAAAUUUUAAAAUAUCUCAUUUAUUUUAGAUAAAAUAGUGACCACCUCAAUGUAACCUCUCAUUUUCCUGCUCAAGUGGAAAACCAUCAUGAGUCUCACCAUCACCAUUGCCACAACCACCAUGAUGACAUUUUAAUAACAGACAACUUUCUUGUAUUAUAUUCCUUCUGUUGACAAAGAAAAAUGGAAUGGCAAUGCAUUUUUUAAAAAUUGAUUUGAGCUAGCUUAAAACAAGGGUAAUUGUAAAGCUGGACAUUUGUGUCCUAAGGAGAUUCCUCACUGGGCAAAUGGCUCAGUAAUGGCCACAAUCUUUUAGCCAGUCUUUACACUCACAAGCCCGGCUGCACAGUGUGAAAUUGAAAAGAAAAAGUAACUAUGUCUGUUCUGCAUAAUAUGUAAACAUUUGGCAUCCUUUGUGAGCAAAGUUGUGCUAAGAAACAGCUAGAAAAAUGUCAUUUCCAUAUAUAUUUAGAUUUCACUGUCUCUGAGAGUUCAGUUAUUCUUGAUGUGUGUGUGUGUGUGUGUGUGUGUGUGUGUGUGUGUGUGAUUACCUAAUGAUUACCUACUUGGACAACAGAAGAAUUAGGAGACCUAUCUGCAACUCACACUGGUGGGAAACUAUAGAAGAGGCUAAACUUAAAUGUUCACACCUGGACUGGACUGGAGGUGAGGCUCAGAGUAGCACAUGCCCUAUUGGAGCCUCCAGGAUAUUAGUUUAGACUUACAGACUGAUGGGAUGAGAUGACUCCAUAGUGAGUAGGCAGCAUUUUCAAAAGACAGAUGAAGUAGAAGGGAGCUCUCUUUCAACAGAAAACAAAUUUGAACACUGGGGAAGAAAGGAAAGCUAGGAACUGCAGUGGACCCACUGCAGUGGACUUUGGUUUGCUAGGGGCUCAGUUUCCCUCACAUAUUCUCCCAUCUUCAUUUUCAUUCCUUCUGACCCCCAACCCUCACCUAACAGCAUUUGAGAAGGUCAUAUAACCACUUGUGCACAAUGCAGUGUGGAGGACAAAGUACAAGGUGGUAAAAGCAGACGGGUUCUGCCCCAUAUUCUUCCUUUGCUGGGCCCAAGAAGGAUGCAACCCGACAGUAAGGGACACUGCCAGGAGUUCUAGGCCAUCAAAGGCAGUGGACAGGACUGAGCAGUCACUCCUGCAGAGCCAAAGUCAGUGAGAUAGAGCAAGAGAUGACUCGGGAGGGAUAGGAGUCCAACUCUAUGCCCCAAUAUAUACCAAAGGAGGUGACCCUCAAAGCGAGUGGAAGGCAGAGGCUUGGCUUAUUCCUGGUGGAAGAAUCAAAUGGCAUUGGGCACCUCAGAUGCAUCAGCAAUGUCAACUCAACAAUAAAGAACAUUGUGUUAUAGUAAUGUGAAAUGAAAGAAAAUAAAUAUUCUUUUUCUUUUUUCUUUUUUCCUUUUUUUUUUUUUUUUUUUUUUAGACGGAGUCUCGCUCUGUCAUUCAGGCUGGAGUGCAGUGUUGCAAUCUCGGCUCACUGCAACCUCCGCCUUCUGUGUUCAAGCAAUUCUCUUCCUCAGCCUCCCGAGUAGCUGGGAUUACAGGUGCCCGCCACAACGCCUGGCUAAUUUUUGUAUUUUUAGUAGAGACGGGGUUUCACCAUCUUGACCAGGCUGGUCUUGAACUCCUGACCUCAUGAUCCACUCGCCUCGGUCUCCCAAAGUGCUGGGAAUACAGGCGUGGGCUACUGCGCCUGGACUUUUUUUUUUUUUCUUUUUUUUUUUAGACGGAGUCUCGCACUGUCGCCCAGGCUGGGGUGCAGUGACGGAUCUCAGCUCACUGCAACCACCGCCUCGCCUCCCAGAUUCAAGCGAUUCUCCUGCCUCAGCCUCCUAAGUAGCUGGGAUUACAGGCGCCCACCACCACACCUGGCUAAUUUUUGUAUUUUUGGUAGAGAUGGGGUUUCGCCAUGUUGGCCAUCUGGUCUUUAACUCCUGACCUCAGGUGACCCACCCGCCUCAGCCUCCCAAAGUGCAGGGAUUACAGGCAUGAGCCACCGCACCCAGCCGAAAUAUUCUUUUUCUAAUGCUUAUCUAUAGGCAUAUCCAAUUCAGGGAAAGGAAAUGUGAGCUCUUUGGGAGAUGCAGUUUUGGAAUUGAACUCUGGAAGAUAUUUUGGAUGUGAGGGCUAACUGCGACUUUUAAUAAUAUUAAUUUCUCACAGUAGUUGGGUGUUUUCCAAUUUAAAAAGGGCUGACAUUUACAAAAAUGUAUUUCUUUAGAAAGGUAUGAAUCUGGUAAAAGAGAAAAUGAUUGCUUUGCCCACUGGGGAGGUGCUUGGGGAGACUUCCUCUGCCUCAUGUCACCUGCUGGUCUUUUCUGAACUCCAUACUUGGGCGGGCAUCCAGCACUCUAAUCCAUACCACACCCUCCUCAUUUUGGCUCUUGAGAGAAAAACUGGUAAACAGUUUGGUUUUAGACAGCAAGUUCAUGCCUUUAGUAAUAAGGAAAGCUUAUUUCUAACUUCUCUGAAAAGGAUAUAAUAAUGCCUUUAAUAAGGAAAGCUUAUUCUGACUUCUCUGUAAAAGAAAUAACCAUAAUGCUUUUGUUGAAGUGACAUCACUGAACUAUAAUUAUUUUCUAGUACAGAGGGGUGUGUAAGGAGGAAUUUUGUAGAAUAUGUAAUGUGCAGUAGUAAUCCCAGCUACUCGGCAGGCUGAGGCAGACAAUUGCUUGAACC